UUUUUUUGUCAUGCUUGACUAGCUCAGAUAACUGUUUAAAUUUAUAUUUAACAUUUUACAUUAAAAAAAUGUACUGCGCAGCAACAAAUAAAAUAAUCUGCAAAACGUAGUAAAUGUAAAUAAAAGGAUGGCUGAUAAAAGGAUGGCUGAUAAAAGGAUGGCUGAUNNNNNNNNNNUGGCUAAUAAAAAUGUGGCUAAUAAAAAUGUGGCUAAUAAAAAUGUGGCUAAUCAAAACGUGGCUAAUCAAAAUAUGACUAAUCAAAAUAUGACUAAUCAAAAUAUGGAUUAAAAAAAAAAAAAAAAAUUUAAAAAGAAAUAAAAUGAGAAUGAUGAAAAAAAAUAAAAAUAAAAAUAAAUAUACGUUAUAAAAUACCUAAUGGAAAUACGCCUUAAAAAUAGGGCAUAAAAACAAAUCAUAAAAAAAAAAUUAUAUUACCAAUCAAUUAACAUUUUUUUUUUUUUUUUUUUUUAAGGGAUAAAAACUAUAUAAAUUAUGGGAUAGUGUCGCAAAUUAUGGUAAACAGAUGAAAAGAAAAAUUGUAACAGAAUGGAUAAUAACAAAAUAAAUGAAAACGAAAAUUAUUUCGUUAACAAUGACAGAUGUUCUCUUGUUUUAAUAAUUGAAAAAGAAAAUAAAGAAAAUAAGGAAAAACAAGAAAGUAAAAAUAAUGAUAUCAAUAGAAAUAAGAACGAAAGAGUAAGUAGCAAUAAUUUAGCAGUUGCUUCUGGUAUAAAUCAACAGAUAAACAAAGAGAAAGUCAAUAAAAUGUUAAAGAUGAUUGAAGAGGUAAAUACAAAACACAGUGAUAUAAUAAAUAAUGUUGAAAAUUGUAUGGCUUAUACAAAUGUUACCAAAAAAAUAAAUACACAGAGUGAUACAGAAAAUGGAGUAAAUGAAGCGAAUGGAGUGGAUAAAGUGGAUUUAGUACAGUCGAACGAUCUAAAUGAAUUAAAAAAAGUAGAAGAAAAGGAAAAAAGACAGUUUGUAUGUAGUAAAGAAAGUGUGAAGUUACAUAUAGGGUUAGAUUAUUCAACUUUUAUAUUGGAUGGUGGAGAUUAUAAAAUUGUUAAAUUCCUUAAAAAAGGGUGCCAUUUUUUAUAUUGGAAUGUUGAUGAAUUAUAUCAUAAGGAAAAUGAAAAAAUAGAUAAAGAAAUGAAAAUGAAUGAAAUGAAAAAAAAUAAUAAUGAAGAUAUUAGGAAUAGUAGAUUUAUUUAUUUUGAUACAGAAAAUAAAUUAUUAGUAUUAAAAUAUAACAAAGUUUAUAAAAAUUUUGACUAUAUAAAUGAAAAUAAUCAUAUUUAUAAAUAUUUUAUGAAUUUACAUCAAAACGAUUUUUUAGAUAAUAAUUUGAUCAAAGAUAAAAAAGAUUCCAUUUUAAUUUAUCCAUAUACAUAUACCAAAAUAUGGAAAACUUUAACAAGUUAUAUUAAUGACGAAUUAAUUAAUAAAAUUGAGCCAGUCAAUAAAACUUUCUGUUCUUCCUUUCUAAAAGAAAAUAUAGAAAAAAGUGAUUUAAAUAAAAAGGGAGGCGAUGGGGACAAUGUUGACAAUGUUGACAAUGUUGACGAUGACGAGUUCGAUAAAGAUGAAAAGAUGAACAUACGCAAUCAACCAUAUAUGUUUUAUUCUGUGAUUCCAAAAUAUCCAACACAAGCAACUUUGCGUAAAAUAAAAGAAAGAAUUCACAGGAUGAACAAUGAAAGUAUAACUAAAAAGGAGGAUAAUGUAGAGGAUGGUAAAAAAAAAAACACAAUAAAGGAACAAGUGAUAGAAUUGUCGGAAGAAAGUACGGAAAUAUCAACGUUAGGAAAUUACGCAAUUAAUAAUGUAAAUCCAGUUGAGGAAAUAAACCCCGAUCAGAACUACUUUGAAUGUAUUUAUGUUGAUGAUAAAUAUAAAAAGUAUAUUCCUUCUGAUUUAACACAAAUAAAUUUAGAAAAAUAUUGGAUAUUAGAGGAUAUAAUUCAACAAGAAUAUACUUACAUUUAUUAUAACAAUAAAGAAAAAUUGGGCUUUCAAAAAUUUGAAAAUAAACUUUUUUAUAUUUUAGGGGAAUUACAAUUUGCAUUUAUAUUAUUUCAUUUGGGAUACAAUUACGAUUCUUUUAUGCAGUGGAAGAAAUUAUUUGAACUUUUUACGAAUUCUCAACAUUUGGUAACAAACAACCCCGAUUUUUUUGAAGAAGUUUUAAAAGUGUUAUCUACCCAUUUGAGCUAUUUAACUGAUGAUUUUUUUGACAACAAGGAAAAUAGUUUUAUUCUUUUUGGAGUUUAUAAUAUAUAUGAAAUAAUUAGUAAUUCAAUAAACAUUAAAGAAAGUAUAACGAAAUUGGUUGAUUCGAUUGAUUCCAUUAUCUACACUAAAUUGGGUUUGCAUAUACCUGAUUUAUGUUUUGUGUAUGAAGAAUAUCAGCCAACAUAUGUAGAUGAAUAUUAACCAUGUGUGUUUUCACACAUAUAUAUUAUUACAUAAUAAAAAAAAAUAAAUGUAGUAUAAUCA
ensembl:lncRNA